GUAGGUGGCAAGCGUUGUCCGGAAUUAUUGGGGCGUAAAGCGCGCGCAGGCGGUCCUUCAAGUCUGAUGUGAAAGCCCACGGGCUCAACCGUGGAGGGUCAUUGGAAACUGGGGGACUUGAGUACAGAAGAGGAAAGCGGAAUUCCACGUGUAGCGGUGAAAUGCGUAGAGAUGUGGAGGAACACCAGUGGCGAAGGCGGCUUUCUGGUCUGUAACUGACGCUGAGGCGCGAAAGCGUGGGGAGCAAACAGGAUUAGAUACCCUGGUAGUCCACGCCGUAAACGAUGAGUGCUAAGUGUUAGGGGGUUUCCGCCCCUUAGUGCUGCAGCUAACGCAUUAAGCACUCCGCCUGGGGAGUACGGCCGCAAAGGCUG
rnacentral:rRNA from 1 species